AUAUUUCUGAGGAAACAGAAAGUGGGGGGGCAGUUUUGUGCCAGCAACCAUACAAGAAGGAAGCUACCAUAUGUGGAAAUGUCCGGAGCAGUUAAAGUGAGCGCUGUUGUUGCUGCAACCGCUACAGGUGCUGUGAAAGUUGUAAGCAUAUCUGUACCAGCAGCAGCAAUUCCGUGGGUGUGCGCCACUGUCAUUGUGCUUGGGGCCUCCUGUAUCAUUUUCCAAGGACUCAAGCGUCUAAACCAGUGAAAAUGUCUGCUAUGGUCCACUUCAACACACUGGAAAUGAACCCUUUGGAAUUCAGUCAAGCUCCUAUCGAACAGAAUUCCCAGGGCUCCACAUUCCCACCGAUCUGCAUAUCAGCAUGUUCCUGAGUGACCCAGAAUGCAAGGAACAGCUAUAUAGAAGAAUUGUGCAUGAUAUAAGAAGGAUUAAAUCAUAUCAAUGAAAUAAUGCAAAUACACACA